rnacentral:rRNA from 1 species
GGUUACACACGUACUACAAUGGGUGGUACAAAGAGAUGCAAUCUCGCAAGAGCAAGCAAACCUCAAAAAGCCAUCCUCAGUUCGGAUUGGAGUCUGCAACUCGACUCCAUGAAGUUGGAAUCGCUAGUAAUCGCGGAUCAGCACGCCGCGGUGAAUACGUUCCCGGGCCUU